UGGCUUGGAAGCAGCCAUUCAUUUAAAGAGUGCGUAACAGCUCACUAGUCGAGCGAUCUGGCGUGGAUAAUAAUCGGGCAUAAACGAUCUGCCGAAGCCGUGGAUGUCGCAAGACAUGGUAGGGGAGCAUUCCAUGCCGCGUCGAAGAUGAGGGAUGACCCUUGUUGGAGCGCAUGGAAAAGCAAAUGUAGGUAUGAGUAACGAUAAGGGGGGCGAGAAACCCCCCCGCCGAAAGACCAAGGUUUCCUGAUCAACGCUAAUCGGAUCAGGGUGAGUCGGGACCUAAGGCAAAGCCGAACGGCGCCGCCGAUGGAAGAAUGGGUUAAUAUUCCCAUACUGCCUCAUGGAGUGACGUGGAGACGGAGAAGUGACAGUCCUGCCGGCUGACGGAAUAGCCGGUUGAAGGGUGUAGAUAUUGAUUCCCGUAGGCAAAUCCGCGGGGAGAGUCGAACCUGAGAGUAUACGGAGCGCUUGCGCAACGUAAUAUGGACGUAACCAUGCUCCCGAGAAAAUCCGCUAAACUUAUCCAUGCGGCACCCGUACCGUAAACGGACACACGUGGUCGGGUUGAGAAUACUGAGGCGCUCGAGUGAUUCACGGUUAAGGAACUAGGCAAAUUGACCCUGUAACUUCGGGAUAAAGGGUCCUCGUCGUAAGGCGAGGCGCAGAGAAUAGGUCCAGGCAACUGUUUAACAAAAACACAUGGCUGUGCUAAAUGGAAACAUGAUGUAUACAGCCUGACACCUGCCCGGUGCCGGAAGGUUAAGAGGAGAUGUCAUCCGCGAGGAGAAGCGUUGAAUUGAAGCCCCGGUAAACGGCGGCCGUAACAAUAACGGUCCUAAGGUAGCGAAAUUCCUUGUCGGGUAAGUUCCGACCUGCACGAAUGGUGUAAUGAUCUGGACACUGUCUCAACCGUGAGCUCAGUGAAAUUGUAGUAUCGGUGAAGAUGCCGAUUACCCGCGAUGGGACGAAAAGACCCCGUGAACCUUUACUAUAGCUUUACAUUGAGUUUGGGCAGACGAUGUGUAGGAUAGGCCGGAGGCAUUGAAGCAGGUACGCCAGUAUUUGUGGAGCCGACGUUGAAAUACGGCCCUUCGGUUGUUUGAGUUCUAACUCCUAGGCAGGAGGACACUGUAUGGUGGGUAGUUUGACUGGGGUGGUCGCCUCCAAAAGCGUAACGGAGGCUUCUAAAGGUGCCCUCAGACCGAUUGGUAACCGGUCGCAGAGUGUAAUGGCAUAAGGGCGCUUGACUGGGAGACAUACAAGUCGAUCAGGUAGGAAACUAGAGCAUAGUGAUCCGGUGGUUCCGCAUGGAAGGGCCAUCGCUCAAAGGAUAAAAGGUACUCCGGGGAUAACAGGCUGAUCAUUCCCAAGAGCUCAUAUCGACGGAAUGGUUUGGCACCUCGAUGUCGGCUCGUCACAUCCUGGGGCUGGAGAAGGUCCCAAGGGUUGGGCUGUUCGCCCAUUAAAGUGGCACGCGAGCUGGGUUCAGAACGUCGUGAGACAGUUCGGUCUCUAUCUAUCGUGGGCGCAGGAGAUUUGCGAGGCUCUGACACUAGUACGAGAGGACCGUGUCGGACGUACCACUGGUUUACCGGUUGUCCCGCCAGGGGCACCGCCGGGUAUCUAAGUACGGAUCGGAUAAGUGCUGAAAGCAUCUAAGUACGAAGCCGGCCUCAAGAUUAGAUCUCCCUCAAGGGUGGUUAUAGACGAUGACCUUGAUAGGCCACAGGUGUAAGGGCGGCGACGUCCGAGCCGAGUGGUACUAAUAGCCCGGGACUUUCCUCA
rnacentral:rRNA from 1 species